GAUGAACGCUGGCGGCGUGCCUAAUACAUGCAAGUCGAGCGAACAGACGAGGAGCUUGCUCCUCUGACGUUAGCGGCGGACGGGUGAGGAACACGUGGAUAACCUACCUAUAAUAAUGGGAUAACUUCGGGAAACCGGAGCUAAUACCGGAUAAUAUAUUGAACCUCAUGGUUCAUUAGUGAAAGACGGUUUUGCUGUCACUUAUAGAUGGAUCCGCGCCGCAUUAGCUAGUUGGUAAGUUAACGGCUUACCAAGGCAGCGAUGCGUAGCCGACCUGAGAGGGAGGUCGGCCACCCUGGAACUGAGACACGACCCACACUCCGACGGGAGGAAGCAGUCGAGAAUCUUCCGCGAAGGGGCAAAGCCUGACAGAGCAACGCCGAGUGAGUGAUGAAGUUCUUAGGAUCGUAAAACUCUGUUAUUAGGGAAGACCAAAUGUGUAAGUAACUAUGAACGUCUUGACGGUACCUAAUCAGAAAGCCACGGCUAACUACGUG
rnacentral:rRNA from 1 species